rnacentral:rRNA from 1 species
AGAGUUUGAUCCUGGCUCAGAAUGAACGUUGGCGGCGUGGAUUAGGCAUGCAAGUCGCACGGGUCCGGCCUUCGGGUCGGAUCAGUGGCGGAAGGGUGAGUAAGGCGACGGUACCAACCCCAUGGUUGGGCAUAGCCGCGGGAAACUGCGGGUAAUUCCCAGCGACGUCCGUGUCGGGCAUCCGAUGUGGACCAAAGUCCUGGCGCCGUGGGACGGGCCGUCGUGGUAUUAGGUUGUUGGCGGGGUAACGGCCCACCAAGCCUGUGAUGCCUACCGGGCGUGCGAGCGCGACCCGGCACACUGGGACUGAGAUACUGCCCAGACUCCUACGGGAGGCUGCAGUCGAGAAUCUUCGGCAAUGGGCACAAGCCUGACCGAGCGACGCCGCGUGGAGGACGAAGGCCUUCGGGUUGUAAACUCCUGUCGAGGGGGAGGAAGGUCGGGCAACCGGCUUGACCGAUCCCUGGAGGAAGCACGGGCUAAGUUCGUGCCAGCAGCCGCGGUAAGACGAACCGUGCGAACGUUAUUCGGAAUCACUGGGCUUAAAGCGCGUGUAGGCGGAUGGGAACGUCGGUCGUUGAAAUCCCCCGGCUCAACCGGGGAACGGGCGCCGAAACGACCCAUCUGGAGGGACGUAGGGGGACCUGGAACUUCCGGUGGAGCGGUGAAAUGCGUUGAGAUCGGAAGGAACGCCCGUGGCGAAAGCGAGGUCCUGGACGUCUACUGACGCUGAGACGCGAAAGCUAGGGUAGCGAACGGGAUUAGAUACCCCCGUAGUCC